GAAAUAUAAUAAAAAUUAAGCUUCUAACUUAAUAUUAAGCAUAUAAUGUUUGUAUUUCU
rnacentral:tRNA from 1 species